rnacentral:rRNA from 1 species
UUUUAUGGAGAGUUUGAUCCUGGCUCAGGAUGAACGCUGGCGGCGUGCCUAAUACAUGCAAGUCGAGCGAACUGACGAGGAGCUUGCUCC